UCUCGGUGCGCCCGCGGGAUUUGAGGGGGAUGGAGGCGCGUCGGGUCAUGAGGAGCUGCGCGGCGCGACGUCUCGCGAGAUCUCGUGGGACAGGCGGUGAUCGAGGGUGAAGCUGCUCGUCGGGUCCCGAGAUGAGAGAUAUCGCGAGAUCUCAGCGCGCCUGCCAGUCUGAGGGGCCGGGCAGCGCGAAGUCUCGCGAGAUCGCUAGGCUCCGCUGCUGUGAGGGGAAUGGAGGCUCCUCGGGUCGUGAGGGUCCGAGCGGCGCCAAGUCUCGCGAGAUCUGAGCGUACCUGCUGGUCUGAGGAGCCGGGCGCAGCGUAGUCUCGCGAGAUCUCCGGCAACGGCCGCCCGUGCUGCCCUGAGGGGGAACAGCGAGAAGGAGGCUCCGAACCUGCCCUGCGCCCUCCAUGUCCCCUCACAGUCCCCCUACCCCUCGUGACCACACCAGGGAGGUGUCUCCCAGCGCCCUCAGUGAGGCUUAGGCCCCCCUCACAUCCCCCGGUGCUCAGGUAGCUCUGCCCGCCUUGCAGAUGUAGGAGUUCCUUUAAGGCAGCACAAAGACAGCAGGAAAGGCAGCGAAAACCCUCAAAAACCGCUUGCUGAGGCCGGGAUUUGUGUGCACAAACCUCCAACAAAGACUGUUCAGGGGUGGUCACUGGAGAGGCAUCAGGAGAGAGCCAGAGGACAGGGAGAGGUCUGGAGGCUGGGAAGGCUCAGGGAGAGGGGGAGUCUCCAGGUCUGGGUCACAGUUCUGCUCCAAUUUGCUCUCAAGCACCAGAAGGAAGAAUUGCAGCUCUCAGCCCAGCCCACACCAACAGGCACAGGCCCCAGGAUGUAAUCGGGAGGGAAGAUAAUUCCAGGAAGAGUUUCACAGCUCAUGAACACCCAGUGCCUGUAAACCUGUGGGGUUUUUGCAUCAGAGGGGGCAAAGUGACCACGAGUGAGGAGGUGAGGGCCAGGGAGGUGCUGCAGGACUCACCUCCUCCCUGGCAAUGGUCAUGUUGUCCUGCACGUUCCCAAAGACCGUGGGCUGGAUGAAGUAGCCCCUGUCGGCAGCGGCGUUGCCACCACACAGCAGUUUGGCUCCCUCGCGCUUCCCAGAGCUGAUGUAACCCAGGAUCUUCUUGAAUUGCUCUUCAUCCACCUGUGAGCCAUGAGGACACACAUCAGCUCCACCUCCACUGGGGGGAAAGUAGAUUCUGCUCCCACCUGCUGUGCUCCAGCAGUUCCCAAUCCAACAGAGUGCCCAGCCAGCUUCAAAGGGAGCAUUUUUAAAUGCCAGCGUCAAGUGGAGGUUGUGGAAUCAUCAGAAUGGUUAAUUAACCUUUCCCCCUGCACAAGCAAGGAGAUCAUGGGACAGUUCAAAGGAGGUUAAUCAAGAGACUGAAGGAUAAUUCCAUUCUAAUCUAGUGACACACUAUGGCUCAGGAUUGGGACUAUUCCAUGAGGUAACAGCUGAGGGCAUUUCCUGCUCUUACCUGAGGCCCCUGCUCAGUUUUAAAGUCGAAGGGGUUUCCGACCACCCUGGCCUUGGCCUUCUCAACACUCCUCUCCACAAACUCAUUGUAAAUGUCCUCCUGGACGUACGUGCGGGACCCGGCACAGCAGCACUGCCCUUGGUUGAAGAACAGGGCGAAGUGGGCUUGAUCCACUGCCCAGUCCACUAAGAGUGGGGAGAGGAGAGAAAACAAAUCAGCAAAUAAACCCAACCAAAGUCAGAAGAUGACUUCUUUGGAACAAUUAUCACAGACUGAUGGGGGUAAAAUGUCCUGUCAGUUGGCAGCGUUUUCCAUGCUUUGGUGUGGCAGAAGUUACAUACAUACUUCAUUCAUAUGAGGGUCUAUUAAGGCACCCCAUACUAGACAAAAAUACCUAAUCUGAGGCAGAUUACAGCCCUAAUUUGAAUUUGUCAGGUAUUAAGGACAAAUUUUUUUAGAUCCAGAAGAAUUUCCUCCCUCACUGCCAUAUAAAAACACAUUUCUUGGUUCAUCAGGACCAAAAAUGAGACAGUAUGCAAGGGAGGAGGGAACCAGGACUUCUUAAGUGUAGGGAAGAGUGGUGUGCUCCAAGAGAAACAGAAAUUAAACCAAAAAUGGAGCAAAGACUGAGGGAAGAUAUACUGAAACAACAGGUUGUUGACAACUGAACUUCACAGCACUGGGAAAAAAAAAGUGGGAUUAGAGCAGUGCUGAUACUCUGGGUGAGACCAGCCCAGGGGAGUCAGGGCUGGACAGCAGAGGUUUCCUUUCCUUUCCCCUCCAGCUCUGCUGGCAGAAAGUCAAGGUAAAAGGCACAGAUCAAACUUUACACAGCAGGGACUCACUGUCUGCAUCGGACAUGAUGAUAUUGGGGCUCUUCCCUCCAAGCUCCAGGGUCACCCUCUUCAGGUUACUCUCUGCUGCAGCUUUCUGGAUCAGGUGCCCAACCUGCAGGAGAGCAGAGCAGGGGCUGGAAUUGACUCCUCCAUCAGCAAAGCCUGGCAGGGCACUGGGUUUACACCUCAGUCAGCACUUCAGUAAUAAUCCCCUCAUUGUCAGGGCUGUAAGGCUGCCCAGUUUCACCUCCAGUAAGAAGCAGCUUAAGGGAAACAAUGGGAAAUAUUCUAAAGAACAAAAUAAGAAUAAGAGUCUUAUGUCAUGCAAAAAUAAAUGUCACACCCUGGAAUCAGCUGUGGUUUUUAAAAUGAAAUGUAGAAGGCAAAGCACCUCCAGUAUUUUACACAGAAAAGGCAAACACCUCCAGUGUUUUAUACAGCAACGGUGUUCCAGCAGUGAGAUAUUCCCUGCAUCCCAAGGGCUGGAAGGUUGAGGUGCUCCCUUACCUCUGUGGAGCCAGUGAAAGCCACUUUAUCAAUGUCCAUGUGGGAGGAGAUGGCAGCCCCUGCCGUGGGCCCAUAGCCAGGGAUGAUGUUCACCACUCCUGGUGGGAAUCCAGCCUGACAAUUCCCAGGAGACAGCAAUGUUAUUCCUCUUACAAAUCAAGGAUUUCACCUCCACCCCUCUGUUAGUGACCCUCAGUCAGCCUCCCACCAGGAGCAGAGCAUUUCCACUUCACUUUCACUUUGGGAAAUUAAAAUUGGUUUGGAGUUUUAAUGCUCAGUUUGCAAUGACCAGGACAGCUCCUCUCCCCACCCACAUCUCAAGCACAGUUUGGAUCUAUAUAUACAUACACAUAUAUAUAUAUAUGUUCACUUCCUAAUCACCCUGGAGUUCAUUAUUUAAGUGAACCUCAAAGAGUCCUUCCCUAAUCAACAUCUACAUUCUCUACAUACACAUUUAUAAGGACAAAAGGGGUCGGGUUUUUUUGUUAAAUCAAUGCUAAGAGACCCAAGACAAUCCAGCCUCUCUGCAGAGCAGACAGCUCCUCCCUGUUCCUGCCACAUCCCAGUGUGAGUGAAUCUCUCCCCACUCCAGCAGGGGAUGGAAGCCUGGCCUUGGCACUCACCUCUUUGAUCAGACUGGCCACGUAGAGGCCACUCAGGGGGGUUUGCUCUGCCACCUUCAUCACCACCACGUUCCCAGUGGCCAGGGCAGGCCCCAGUUUCCAGGCUUGCAUCAACAGUGGGAAGUUCCACUGAAAAACAAGGAGGGAUUUGCUGGUCUGAACUGGAAAGUUUCUGAUUAUUCAGCAGCAGAUACAAAGUAAAUGUUACUCAGAGCCCAUGAAAUCAACUCCCAGAGUGAAGGAAGAGCCCUCCCAGCUGGUGCAAGCAGAGCUUUGUUUACCACAGAGAGGAAGCAGUGGUGCAGCAACAGAUAGUAACUUAGUAACACUGAAUUCUUGAAAUGCUGCAGGAGCUACUGUUACAUUUAACUUACUGGGAUUAUCUGUCCACAGACUCCCACUGGCUCGUGUCUCGUGUAGCAGAAGAAGUCUCCAUCUAGCGGGAUGGUUUUCCCAUGGAAUUUAUCCGACCAGCCUGCACAAUAUCUGGAGACAAUAAUGUUUUGGUCACUGAAUUUAAAACAACCAGUCAUUACAAAAUAACAAGUGUCCUGUCAACAGAAAACAAGAGCAACUUCCUCCAGGUAUUUGCUUCCUUCCCAUUUUCAGUCACUUCCUAAAACACACCCCAAUGCAAAUAUUUCCCAAAAAGGGGAUGUUAAGGGUGGCCAGUAAAUGCAAAUAUUUGUGCCUUCCAUUUUUGCCAGCACUUUGCACAGCAUAGGUUCUGUCAUUCUUGUGCUGUUAAUGAAUCACCACCAUUAGUGUGAGACCUGUGUAUAACAUGAGACAAUGUACAGUUAACAAACCUUUGGAAAGCCACAGGAAUUACAGUAAAAGGUAAACCCAAGGUGUCUGACACUCUGCUAUGGGCCAGAUGAAACCACCAGUCAGCUCCAGACCCCACAGCCCCUGAAUGGGAGGGACCUGGUCCUGCCCCUGCAGAGGUUUGUUUGCCACGGGCCAGCUGUGGCUGUCACCUCACACCCACCUGAGACACUUGACCACCAUGUCCAGAUCCACCAGGUAGGAGAUGGCGUAGGGUUUGCCGUUGUCCAGAGUCUCCAGAGCCUGCGAAAGACAACAGCGGGUGAGGGGGGAAACUCAAGUGUACGGUUUGACUCGGUUUGUAAUUUGCAGUCUGGAUCUGUCCUGCAUGUUGGCCUUUUGCUUCCAGCUUCCCAAAAGUACCUCCCCACCCUUCACAGCCCUGUCCCAGCCUGAGCUGUGGGUGAAGCCCCUGGGACACACAGUGGACACCAACUCCCGUGGGCAGAGCUGGGUCACGGAGCACAACACUCACUGCCAGGUAGGCCCGGUCCCGCUCGAUCAGGUCGGCGAGGCGGUGCAGCAGCUUCCCCCGCUGGGAAGCAUCCAUCCUCCUCCAGGGAGAGCCCAGCUGGAACGCUGCCUUGGCUGCCUUCACUGCCUUGUCCACAUCUGCCUGCGGAGGAGGCCAGGAAGAAGGUCCAAAACAGGAGCGCGAGUGCAAAGAUCGCGGUGAUCGCGCAGAGCUCGCCGAACAUUCAGCCAACCACCGCCAGCCUGGCCACAGCGAUCGGGGAGGAGUGGAAUUCCUUGGGAGAGGAAUGCUGCCUUCCCAGCACCCCGCACAGAUGCCUUGUGCAACUUCAGGCUCCCAAGUGCAGGUUCACGUGCAGGGAACAGGGGGGUGCUCACGUUAUCAUCACCAUCACUAAGGAAGCCACAGACCAAAAACAUCAAGAGUUUUUAACCUCCCAAAGAAACCUGUGGUAUUA